rnacentral:ncRNA from 2 species
GCAUCAGGAAAUCUCCGAGCCAUGCUGCCUAACAGGGAAACCUUACGGCGCCGGGCCAACGGGUUUCGCUGGAAACGGCGGAGCCUCCCUCUGGAAAGGAGCCCCUUCGCCAUGAC